GAAAACGAGGAAUGGAACACGGACACUAAUGAACAGCCAAACUCCUUAGAUAUUAAGGAACUAAGUCAACAUCAAGAAAUGUUCAGAUUCAGCCAUAACAACAACGCAACCUAAACGAAAUCAUGCUCAAUGAUCCAUAAAGGAUUCCUUUUACGCAAGAAAGGAGCAUACUCAUUCCAAAUGAUCCGAAAUUCACGACCUAAUCCACGUUAACUUAGUUCAAGCGUUUUAUCAAACACGUGGUAAGCACUGACUCGGGAUGAAGUUAUUAACUCCUUUUUGGACCCGCUCGAGUCUAGACCCAGAGAAAUCAUCAAGAAACAUGCAAGAUCGACCACAUCAACUUACUUAAACUCAGCGUGCAUAUAGGCUAACAAAAGGAACAAGACUUGGCUUUCGGUUAGACCAAAACAAGGAGGAGCAGCAAGGGUUCUUGCGAACAAGCAUCUCAUCACGGAGUUCCCUACCCAACUCGAAGACGGCAGGAAGCGGGCUUACUUGCUACAAAUCGAGCUAUAGCUCGCCGCUUUGGUAUUUUCGAGCUGAGAUCCUCGGGCAAGAGAGGUUUAAACCAAGUAAAGAAACUCACCAGUGACGCCGAGAUCCGUGGGCGAAAGAUCGUAUGCUAGAGGGUACUGGCCAGAGGUCGUCGAAGAUGGUUCGAGCGUGGCCGAUCUACUAGAAAAACUCCUUCUCGCUCUCAAGUUUUACUCUCCUCCUCCAAGUCACUCUCUAUCUCUCCCUCGCUUUUUAGUGUUUUCCCCCCCCUUCUGCUCAUCCCUUGUUUUCUUUUAAAACUGCCGUUGGUUCCCCCUUUUUUUUUUGUCCGAAAUGUCUUUUUGCUAGCCCAUGAAGCCAGCUCUCUUUCUUUUCCAUCUUCAGCUCUAAUUUUCCUCGGUCAAUCCAACCUCCUUGCCUCUAUGUAUGUCUGCAGUCAGUUUUCUCCUUGGGACCGAGUUCAAUCUAUUUUCAGCUACAACGAUUGCAGGUUUUCUUGGACUUCGUCAACUGCAGGAGCUGCCACGCUGCAGCCAAGUGUUCAUUGCUUCCAUUUUUCUGAAAUCGCAGUUGUUGAUCCUCUGCAGAUCCUUCUUCAGCUUCCUCCUGUUCUGUCUUCUGUUCUGUUUCUUUCUUUUUUGCAGGUCUUCGAAGACGACACAGAGGGAAGAAGACCCUCGCUCGUGGGCUGAAAGGGAAAAAGGGGGGUUGGGUUGUUGUUGUUUCUUUCUUUUUUUUUACUUUUUGAUUGAUUUUUUUUUUUUUUUGUAAAAAUAGGUGUCAACAGCUGCCCCUCUUUGAAUGUAGCAUCGAAGAUGUUGCAUUCAAAGACAGAAGACACCUAAUUUAUUUCAAUGGUAGAGGGACCCUGAGUGCACAAGCGCGUAUCAGGUUGACAAAAAGGACUCAUAAUUAUGGAAGUGUGUCUUGUCGAUAAGAGGGAGACUCCGGGAUAGAGAAACUCUCCGGGUCAUAAAAAGAGAGGAAGACUCUGGGAUAUAAAACUACCCGAGUCAUAGGAAGAAAGACUCCGGGCUACAAAGCUCUCCGGGCUACAAAAGAUCACCGGGUUACAAAGCACACCGUGUCAUAAGAAGAAGGACUUUGAGCUACAAAGCUCUCCGGGCUACAAAAGCUCUCCGGGCUACAAAGCUCACCGUGUCACAAGAAGAAGGACUGCGGGCUACAAAGCUCUCCGGGCUACAAAAGCUCUCCGGGCUACAAAGCUCACCGUGUCACAAGAAGAAGGACUGCGGGCUACAAAGCUCUCCGGGCUACAAAAGCUCUCCGGGCUACAAAGCUCACCGUGUCACAAGAAGAAGGACUCUGGGUUACAAAGCUCUCCGGGCUACAAAAGCUCUCCGGGCUACAAAGCUCACCGUGUCAUAAGAAGAAGGAGAAGGACUGAAGUCUCACCGUGUAACAACGAGCUUCGACCAGGUUAAAAUACAUGAUUUGAGGAAAAGCCAUGAACCUUUGGAGAUGACUUGGUUUAAGGUUAACCAUAACUUUGGGUUUUAGGGAUGCGUCUGCUAACUCCUUGGAACUACAUGGCUUCACUGAAGAAUCCUGUCAAACUCAGCUUGAGCAAAUGUUAUUAGGGACGUCAUCAAGAGACAUAUUGGCAAUAUUGUAGCAUUAAUUGAACAAGCUAAUCAAGCUAAGUCCGACUGUUUUGAAAAAAAACAUUUGAUUUCAAUCGGCAUCAUGUGGCGCAAAAUUGUCAUAUUUGCUUGUGGAUAUAUAAUUAAUCAUCAAAUUCUCUAGGAGUCAAGUUCUUAUCAAGACGAUCACGACUUGUGAACAAGGCUCAUUAAGCAUGCCAAACUAGAGCUUCUUAGUUAGAAAGGGCUUCUCACGUACUUUCGAUAAAAUGGCUGCUUGAUCCCAUCCGUUCAUGUGGGAGAUAACUGGUUGCUAAGGGUAUCUCACAUAACCUAGAUCAAAGGCUUUCAGAAACAUUCGCGAUGAGCACAAUCUGAUCGAUCAAAAAGGUCUUUUGAAAGGACCGCAAUAUAGGCUUGGUUAGGGCUUACACAAAGGAAUGAUUGCUUUGAGGCCAAUAAGGGAACACUUGUUGCUAUCUUUGUCGGGUUUACAAGUCGAGAACUUGAAAGAUAAGGCAAGAUAUGAUUACUUCCACUUCUUCAAGCAAUAGUUUCUUUGUGGUAUUCUCAUUUUCACUCGAACCAUCCCAAUCAGAAGAGACUUCGGAAGAGGGUUGUAAUGUUGGCUCGGGAAAGGCUUGAAAGGCUUAAGAUUUUCAAAGGGUUUUUAAGAGUCGGUGAUCAUCAUGGCACCGUGACCGGGUCACUUGACCUUUCGAAGGCAUUUGGCUUUUGAAACGUUGCACAUCUCGAAAGACCCUUGACUAAUCAUUUCUACGUGGGAGCUUUGCUCCUUUCUCUAAUUUCCUUUGCCUUUUGCGAUGAUGAUUUUUUUCUUCUUCUUUUUUUCACCGGCACUUGGAUUUUGAUAAUCUUUCUUUCACAUAAGAUGCAACCUUUUGGCUCUUUUCCUUGACGGGUAUUGGCCUUGCUUUUACUAGGCACACUGCUUUUUCAUGCCCCAUAAUUUGUCGAACUUUUUUUUUCUCUUUGAACUUUUACAGUUCUUAUGACUUUCGAGAUGCUUUCCACAUUUCCUUGUGAUUGUCAAUUAUAUUUUGUCAAUUCUUAUGCCUUGCCCCAGUGAAGGGAGAUGAUCACCGCUCGGGAUUCAAAAAUGAAUAAUCAGGCCCAAAUUGGUUAAAACAAUGGAUAUCAUUGUUUGGGUAGAGAAGGAAAUGCUCUUCUUCACUUUAGGAUGAGUCAAGCUCUAAUGAGAAUUCCUUUGAAGCUAUCGCCAGAAGAUUAAUGCAAGUGAAAGUAAUAGAAUCUUUCUUAAUCUUUCGUUCUACAACAUGAUCAUAACCUCCUAUGCUGCCCCCAAUGUAGGGUUGUUCUUGACAAUGGUACUUUGUAUCAUUUUUUUUUUUAGCCCAAAGUGAUAACAGGAGAUUAGUGCAAUGCUUGGGAUUGAUGAAGGGAACGCCUUUAUCAUUUCGAUCUUUGUGCUCAAUGCGAAUGAAUCAUUCGUCCUAAGAGAAGGUCGAUUUUCACUCAACUCUCAAAAGUGUCUGGAGGAUGUGUCUGGUAAUGGGCUUGCCUUUCUUCAUCCUAAGUACUUCUUGUUUGGCAUGGUUAACCUUUCACUCUUUUGCCCAAAUAAAGUCAUUUUUACGAGCCAUUUGCUUGAGGGUCGCAGACGUGAAGCGUGCAUAGUGACACCAAAGAAUAGGUCAUGCGAAUCAUGUCAUGCAUUUUUGUUUUUGUCCUUAUUCUUUUGUUUGUUUGUUUUGCCCCCCUUUUUAUCGUCUCAACUUACCUCUCAAAAGAGACAUUCAACCUAUUGUGCAAAGACUUGAUGGAUUCUUGAGUUGGUUCUUUCCUCUGCCAUUUCCUCGUUAGACGGUAGGAUGCCUGAAACACAAAUAGAUAUGCGUGUAUGCAACAUAUGCAUGAUGUCUACAAUGCUAUGCAUGAUACUAUGCGACUUGAAUUGUGCAUGAAGUGGCCCUUCGGCCUUGAUUUCAUUCAUGGAAAAUACUUCUUGACUGCAUCAGCAUUUACAGGUCUAGGCAAUUCACUGCCAUCCAUUUCAACUAAAAUCAUGGCACCACCAGGAAGAAUCUUCUUAAUGACAUACGGUCCUUCGUAGUUCGGGGUGAAUUUGCCACGAGGAUCUGGUAUGAUCGGAAGCACCUUCCUAAACACUAGGUCGUUGACUUCAAAGUGUCUGGGACGCACCUUUCGGUUGAAGGCUUUUGCGACUCGUCUCUGAUAGCACUGACCAUGACACAUAGCUUGCAAUCUCUUCUCAUCAAUCAUGUUUAACUGCUCAUGCCUCUGUUGCAUCCACUCAGUCUCAUCAAGCGUAGAUUGAGAAAGGACCCUUAAGGAAGGGACUGCAACUUCAACAGGCAAGACUGCCUCCAUCCCGUAUACGAGUGAGAAAGGAGUUGCCCCUGUGGAGGUGCGGAUAGAAGUUCGGUAUGCCAUUAGCACAUAAGGGAGCCUAUCGUGCCAAUCACGAUAAUUUUCAGCGGUCUUUGAUAAGAUUUUCUUUAUAUUCUUGUUUGCCGCCUCCACUGCUCCAUUCAUCUGAGGACGGUACGGUGAUGAGUUCAAGUGCUUAAUUCGAAACUCACUGAACAAACCAUCUACGACUUUGUUAUUCAAAUUAGUGCCAUUGUCGGUAAUGAUCGCCUCCGGUACCCCGUAACGAGCGAUAAUGUCACGACGAAUGAACUUUGCCACAUUCUUGGCAGUAACAUUAACAUACGAGUUGGCCUCGAUCCACUUGGUAAAAUAGUCUAUCGCCACCAAGAUAAAUCGAUGCCCAUUUGAAGCUUUGGGGUUAAUGGGCCCGAUCACGUCAAUUCCCCACAUUGAAAAGGGCCAGGGUUGAGACAUUUGGUGAAGUUCAAUUGGAGGGGCAUUUAUCCUGUCUCCAUAAAUUUGGCACUGGUGACACCGUCGUACGUGCUGAAUGCAGUCAGACUCUAUGGUCAGCCAAUAAUAACCGAGCCGCAUGAUCUUUCUCACCAAGAAGUGUCCAUUCAUAUGGGGGCCGCACUCCCCUUCAUGUAUCUCUUUCAUCAAACGAUCAGCUUCUUCAGCAUCAACACACCUUAGCAAUAUUGAGUCAAAUGACCUUUUAUAAAGGACGUCUCCACUAGCGAAGAAUCUUGAUGCCAGCUUUAUCAAAUGUUUUCUGUCUGCCGCUUCACUUCCUUCGAGGAAUUCACCCUUCUGCAGAUAUUUCAAGAUGUCAUGAUACCAAGGUUGUCCGUCCAGUUCCUCUUCAACCGUCAUGCAAGAAGCCGGGCGCCUGACGAUUUCAAUUCUCAACGGUUCAAUGUCCAAGCCUCCAGCUACUUGCAACAUCGAAGACAAGGUAGCUAGGGCAUCGGCGAACUGAUUUUGAGACCUUAGUAAGUAUUCGAAUGAUAUUUCUUGGAAUUCUUUCGUCAACUCUCCAAGGAACUCAUGAUACGGGAUCAAUUUAGAAUCAUGUGUUCGCCAUUUGCCUUUAGUUUGUAAGAUGAUAAGGGUUGAAUCACCAUAAACUUGCAGCUUCCGAAUUUUCAUAUCAAUGGCGGCUUGGAGGCCGAGAAUGCAUGCUUCGUAUUCAGCGAUGUUAUUCGUACAAGGGAACGUCAAUUUAGCAGCGACGGGGUAAUGUUGUCCAUCCGAGGAGAUAAGAACUGCCCCAGUACCCGACCCGGCUAAAUUAACUGCACCAUCAAAGUACAUUGUCCAUUUGUCGCUUGAUACAAAUAAAAUUCGCUCUUCUGCAUCACUAUCCUCAUCAGAUGCUCUGGACCUCUCGGAAUUUUCUGCCAACAUGUCUGCUAUGGCUCGACCUUUAACAGACUUUUGUCCCAAGCUUUGAACGUCAAACUCAGAAAUUAAGAUUUGCCAUUUGGCCAACUUCCCAACCAAAGCCAGCUUCUCUAGGAGAUACCUGAUAGGAUCGUUUUCAGUCACCAACAAGAUUCGGUGAUGAAGUGUAUAUUGCCGUAUCCCGUGCAAGACCCAAAUUAAAGCCACACAAGUUCUCUCAACUUCCGUAUAGUUCAUCUCGGAAAUAGUGAACUUCUUGCUCAAGUAGUAUCUUGCGCAUUCUCUCCCAUCAUUUGGUCUCUCUGGGCUACAUAGCUCCCAAAGACUCGUCAUGUAUGGUUAAGUACAAAAUCAGGGGAAUUUUAGGGAGUGGGGGCACUAAGACUGGUGCAUGAGUGAGAUAAUGUUUUAUUUUCUCAAAGGCACCCCAGCACUCGGCAUUCCACUCGAUCUUUGCAUUCUUUUUCAUGAGCUUGAAGAAUGGUUUCGCCGUUUCAGACAACUGACAAAUGAAUCUCGCCACAUAAUUAAGUCGUCCCAUCAGGCUGCGGACUUCUUUGAUGGUAGUCGGGGGUCGUAAGUCGCAAAUGGCUUUAACUUUCGACGGAUCAAUCUCUAUGCCCCUAUUACUAACCAUGAAUCCUAAUAGUUUCCCAGAUUUCGCUCCAAAAACGCAUUUUGCAGGAUUGAGGCGCAACUUGAACUUCCGAAGACGUUCAAACAACCUUCGCAAGACUUUAACAUGAUCUUCACCACGUCUCGAUUUCGCAAUCAUGUCGUCGACAUAUACUUCGAUUUCCUUGUGCAUCAUGUCAUGGAAUAACGUGACCAUGGCCCUCUGAUACGUUGCCCCAGCAUUCUUUAGACCGAAAGGCAUCACUUUGUAGCAGAAAGUUCCCCAAGGAGUUAUGAAUGAUGUUUUGCUUCUGUCUUCCUCCUUCAUACGAAUUUGGUUAUAUCCGGAAAAGCCGUCCAUGAAGGAGAAUAACUCAAAUCCCGAUGUACUAUCAACUAAAACAUCGAUAUGUGGGAGCGGAAAGUCGUCCUUGGGACUUGCUCGAUUCAAGUCGCGAUAGUCAACACACACCCUGAUUCGCCCAUCUUUCUUCAUUACGGGCACGAUAUUUGCUACCCAAUCAAGAUAACGAGUUACUUCAAUAAAGUCUACCUUCAAUAGUUUCAUCACUUCUUCUUCAAUCUUUUUGGACAACACUGGUUUAGUUCUCCUAAGUCUUUGCUUUUUGGGCGGCACAUUGGGAUCCGUCGGUAAAGCAUGUUCCACAAUUUCAGGAUCCAAUCCCGGCAUGUCGGCAUAUGUCCAGGCAAACACAUCUUGAUACUCUUUCAGAAGGUUAGUCAUAUUUUCCGCUUCUGACUCUGAGAGACAUGCCCCGAUUUUUACUUCUCUGACAUUCUCUGCAUCGCCCAAAUUUAUGAUGAUUGUUUGCUCUUUAGUCAACGGCUUCGAUUCUUCGUGUUGAUUCCAUUCGCGCUCGACCCCCUUCCGAUCGUCGUCGUCGAUGUCAUCGGAACCUGAGUGACUUUCUUCGUGCACAUCUGAGUCACAUGCAUCCUUAUCAUGAUUAUGCAUAAUGUAAUGCCUGAGAUGCGAUGAGAUGAGUUAGAAUAAUGUCAACAACAAAAACGAUGCAUGUCAUUUUCAAAAAGCUUUCGAAGUAUUUUUUGUAAAAAUUUCAAGAACUCGUCCUCAUAUCCUCGGAUUUCCUCGUUCUUGCGGAACAGUCAAAUAAGGGAGCAUGUGGAGGCCUAGGCCUCAGUGACCAUCAUAGGGUUAGUUUGAUGUGCUUCCACAUGUCCUUAAUAAAACAUGUGUCUAUUUUAUUGAAUGAGGAAAGAUAAGGCCGUAUUUUAACACACACCACCCUCGACCAACGGCUCAAGAUCGAGGCUGAUUAUAGUUCACGUUACAAAUGACGAAAACAGGAAAUAAAUAAAGAAAAAUUACGAGAUCCCGCGCAGGGGAGAAGACAUAAAAUGAAAGACCAGGCUAAACGAGAACCGCCCUACUUUGGAGGGACAACCAUGACUUCAGAGGACUCGGCUUCCUCGCACGCCAGGAUGGUGCAUAUGACGUCUUCCUUAAAUAACUCAGUCACACCAUAGAUAUCCUCCUCUUCCUCGAACAACAUCCUUGGGGGUCCUAGAAACGUCUCCUCCAGCAACGGGGAAAAUGAGCUUUGAUAGCGCUCGUACUCUUCAGUAUGGGCAACGCGUUCACUCUGGUCUCUAUACCCGUCUUGGCCUCCUCGGGCACCUCGGCCUCCAUUCCUUCCACGACCUCCUUGGUUGUUAUGGCCUCCCCACUUCUCGACAUAUCCCAAGCCUCUUCUUUUGAAGUUUUUACGAGCUUCGAUGGGUUUUCGCACACCUUGACCGUGUGAUCCAAGGCCCUCUCCAGGAUUAUACCCGCUUGCUAGCAUAAUCUUUCUCGCAGCUAUGGCCGGCUUAGACAAUUCAGGAACCUUUGUGAAAGACCCUGUAGGCACGUGGACCAUGGAUACCAGCUCGAAGGUUUGAAAGCUGGAUUCCUCGGUACACUCAGGCUCCACAUAUGGGAUGGUCGUCUCAUGGUAGAUCUUGAAGUCAGAUUCUCCAUGGACUGUGAUAAGCCUGUUAUCCACCACAAAUCGUACCUUCUGAUGGAGGCUAGAGGCAACAGCGCCUGCUGUGUGGAUCCAUGGCCUCCCUAGCAGAAAAUUAAAAGCGCUUGGUAUAUCUAACACUUGGAACACGAUUUGGAAGAGUACGGGGCCAAUCAACAACUCAAGCUCAAUUUCCCCUAUCAUUUCCUUCUUCAUCCCGUCAAAGGCCCAUACAGUUGACUUGCCAGUACGGAUUCUCCCAAGAUCAAUGCCCAGACGAUGGAGGGUAGCCAACGGGCAUAUAUUAAGUGCCGAACCAUUAUCAAUCAACACUCUACAAACAAGAGUGCUCUCAUGCUUCAUCGAGAUGUGUAGUGCUUUGGUAUGAUUAGGACCAUCGGGAGGGAGAUCCUCAUCCGUAAAGGAAAUCUGGUCUUUCAGUAGAACUGCUCCGACAAACUCUUCCAAUUGGACUUCAUCGAUUGUUUCGGGUACGUGUACCUCGUUGAGGACCUUCAGCAAGAUGUCCCUGUGCUUCUCGGAGGAUUUCAACAACUCUAGGAGGGAGAUUUGGGCUGGCAACUUCCGCAGUUGAUCUACCACAUUGAACUCGCUAGAUUUUACUAUGGCCAAGAAUUGCUUCGCUUCCUCCUCAGUCAUGACCUUCUUUUCUAUUCCUUUAUCGGGUGCAUAACAGCGGCCCGAUCGUGUGAUAGCAUCUACCUCAUUUGUUUGAUAAUCCCAAGGUGCAGCUUUGGGAUCGAAUUUAGGAGGACUCUCCAACACUAUUACUCCAUCUUCCUCCCGUGGUGGCAAUUCAAUUGUGACUGGCGUUACAUUCCCUCCCGUGACUUCGAUUGCUGACAUUUCCUCGACUAUAAGGUCAAUCACUAUGGGUUCAGCGAUUUCCAUCUCGAUAUCGCCGGCAGUCUCCUCAUCCGAUAGUUCAAUCACCAUCGGAGUUAUCAUAGCUAUCAUCCCUUCCUCGUACAAAGCCGGGGUCUUCGAAAUUCCAGGCAUAAUCUUCUUCGCUCGAGAUAUACGAGCAAUGUUGCAAAAAGAUGAGUGGAAUGAUGACGGGACUAUCAUGGAUACGACAUUCUCUUCCUCUUCUCCGCAUCGAACUACCCCCAUGGCUACCAUCCUGCGGACGCGGUUCAGUUUCUCUUCCGGGGUGACAUCCUGAUGACCUCCAUAGUAUCCUGCCAACACUAAGGACUCAUACAACUUGGAAGCAUUCGCAACUAGAGGCUGUUGACUUGCCUAUGUCUCCUCAAAGAUUGAGUUCACUCCCUCCGCAUGGUCCGGUAGGGGGUUCUGUUGCACAUUAGGCUAAGCUUCCUUAAACGUCAAAAUGUUUUUGUCCAGUAACUGUUGGACUUUGUACCUUAGCACAUUGCAACUAUCUACAUCAUGCCCCCUUUCUCCCAAGUGGUACUCGCAGGUCUUGGUCACAUCAAACCCGGCGAACCUCGUGGGGUUGUCCCUAGGUACUUCCUUCGCAACCAUCCUCUUUUCGAGAAGCAUAGGCAACAGCUUUGACAAUGGUCGUGGCAGUGGGGAAAAUUCCUUUCGAAAGGGUCUCUUGCCCUUGUCAUAUGCUCGUGAUGAGCUCCCUUGAACGGCCAUAGGCUUGUGCGAAGGUGCUGUGGGCGACUUAGGGUAAAAUGACUCUUGCACAAGCGCUACCUCAACUGCAGCUUCCUUAUCUUUUCUCGCCUGGAACUUCUUCGUGCCUCCGGUGGAUAUCUUCCCUUCGAUGAGUGCCCACUCAACUCCUUCACCUACAUCUACUAGCUGUGAAAAGGUUUGGCAUCCCGAAAAUACUAAUCCUUGGAAGUAUUCGGGGGGUAAUGUCUUGAGGAAUAGUUGCUUCAUCUCCCUCUCAUUCAAAGCUGGCUUCACCUGUGAGGCCAUGGUUCUCCACCUUUGCGCAAAGGCUUUAAAUGACUCAUUUCUUUUCUUCUCAACGCGGGUCAAUUCUUCUCUCGUAGGGGCGAGCUCGGUAUUAAACCGGUAUUGCUGCAAGAACUCGUUGGUCAAAUCUUCCCAACUAGUGAAUUCUUCAAUGUCCAGCGCAAUGAACCACGUCAGGGCAAUGCGUUCCAAGCUAUCUUGAAACGUGUGUAUGAGAAAUGGCACGUUGUCAGCGUAACGAGCCAUUUUCCUCAUGUAAUAUCUGAGGUGGGUCUUGGGACGUCCCGUUCCAUCAUAUUUUCUUGUGAACUCAGGCUCUUGGAAGUUCUCAGGGAAGUUAGUCUUGGUGUAUGGAGACAGCCUAUCAGCUCCUUUCAGCUCGUAACCUUGCAAGGCACACAGUCGCUCCUCCAUCUUUGCCAAGCGUUUUUCACUCUCUUCGCUUAGACGGGGUGUUGGGUUUUCCUUUGGAGGAGGAUCCAGAUUGACGAUAAUUGGCGUGACAGAAGGAGCCUCCCCAGCAGUUUCUUUCCCAGGGGGAUCAGCAACAUGCGUGCCUUCUGUUGACACUGGAGUGGAUGUUCCCGUGACAGCUACAGCAGGGGGCUCCUUGAGCUUCUGGCUUAUUUCAAGCAUCAUUGUGGUGAGUUGGGCCAGCUGGUCCUCCAUCUUGGCCAUGCGUACGUUGGUGACCUCGUUCUCCAUUCUGACUUUCGCGCGCGUGCGAAUUGGAGAUCUCCGCUUGGCCGUGUCGACGAUCGGUAAAAGACAAUCGAUCGGCUAGUACCUGAACAAGGAUAGAUAAGCAUGUAUAAGCAUGGAGUAAUGAUUAGGCGGUCGGUCCAUGACAAAGAUCUAAUCGCCCAAAUUUGCUCGUUUCAUUGAAAGCAAGGUUGCUACAUAACGCAGGAAAAGACAUGAGGGAGAACCCCUAAACAACGAGGCUAACCAUGACGCUUAUCUCUCGAUAACGCGACUCGAGACAAAUUCUUUAACAUUGUAACAUACGUGGGCAUGGGCCCAUUACAUAGCGCGCUUGACUCAAUCUAACUAGCGAGGAUAGCUCCCGCUUGUGACCGCCCCACUAACUCGGGUCAAUUUCGAGGCACGAUCUUCGGCUUCUUCAAGCUUCCUUUUGAGGCGCUUGAUCUCGGCUCGAUGGGUGGUCUUUAAUGGCACGUCAGGAAUCUUCGGGCGUAGGCUCUCUAGGAUUUUAUGCCUAAGGAUGUAUUCCAUUGAGGCAUAGUAAGUCUUCUCUUGCCCUUCCAACUCCUCUUCGGGCCAUAUCAGCUUCCGGGGAUGGCACAUAUCCCACAUCGACUUGACUAAUGUAACGGAGUCUUUGUGAUCUUGGCAUCCAUCAGGAAAGUCUAUCCUAAGUGGGUCUUCUUGAAUCAUCGGUGGGAGUUGUUGAACCUCUUAGAACUGACGGGCGACUCGGGUUGGGUAAUACUCAGUGACUCCGGUAAUUCCCAACAAAGGAACCGGUCCAGUAAGCCCACACACGAACCGCGCUUCUCGAACUCGGAGCCAUUUGGCGUGCCAUUGGAAAUCUUCGGGUCCAGGGUUGGUCAUGAAAGCUAACCACUCAGAAUAGUGAUAGUCGGGGGCAAACGUCUUCCUAUCUUUAAACUUCAGGAUAGGGUGGCUAGAGUCAGGGAUGUCGUUCACAGUCAUUAGGCUACCAAACCAUUUAACGUGAGAGAAGAAUCAAAUUUUGCAAGGAGUUUCAGGAGGAGCCGUGGAAAGUUUUUGGUUUUUGUUUUUCUUUUGAAACGAGCAAGGGGAAAGGAAAAAUUUCAAGUCAGGACGGCGUUAACAAAGCUCUUUCCCAUACAUACCUCACGAACUACCCAUGCCACGGAAGGGUUAAUAGCGUUCCUACAAUGUGGGAAUAACACGAACCCGAAAAAAGCUAACAGGAAGAUCCUAUUCUUUUGAAAAGAUGGGGCAUUUUGAAAAAGCUCAUUUAGGAAUGAAAAUGGGCAAGUCUUGCGAUUAGCUUUCGAAACUUUUCUCACGUCAUCCUCCUUAACUCUAAGGAAAUUGGAUAAAGUCAAUGCAUGCUCAGUCCCUACAGGUGGGCCAAUUAACUCCGACACCAAAGGCUUUCCCAUGACGACACUGUAUUCUUCCAGGGUUGGAGUGAGCUCGUGGUCACCGAAUAUGAAUGUGCAAGUCUCGAGACACCAGACAUGCGCCAACGCUCGUACAACACCAUAAUGAGUUUCUAUUUCUAAAAGGGGAAGUAAUCGUCCGACGUUGAAUCGAACCCAAUCAUGGCCAGUCGAGUCUAGUCUAUCCCACCAUGUGCGAAGCUCGGCUUUCGGGGUAGCAAUGAUGUGAAGCUCGGGCAUCCCCAUCGUAUACUACUCACAGUUACGAUCAACCUAAUUUGCCAUGAACCAACUAAAAAAAGAAAGCGAAUAAGUAAAUUACGAAGGAGAGAAUUUGAAAAUCUUACCCUACUCAUUGAGUAGCAAAGCCAAUGACAUAGACAUACGCAUGGACAGUGGUUCAAUUUCUUACUCUAAAUGGCUCAAAAUGGAGCCAUGGGAUCACCGGACUGAACCAGCAAGGUUGCGGCUAGGUCGAGUUACCCAUGACUCCGGCUUCGUCAAAGAACCGACCCGUGUCACGCGGUUGCAGACCGGGGUGGGUACCUUCAACGUGAAGAAAGAAAUUUCGGGGUUAAGGUGGGCGACUCGUACUACGCGGUUGUAGUCGGAGUGGUAUCCACCUUAACACCAUCCUAGGUGAUCCUAUGCGGCCCAGGUCCGGCGGCAGGUUGUGUGUGCUAUGGUGUAGUGCAAUGCAGGAGACUCAUGCAUGAUAAUUUAAAAAAAAAAACAAUCAGCACUUCAAACAUGAAUAAACCAUUCACUCUUAUACCCCUACAAAACAAAUGUUAGAAAUCACCACCCCUUAUAACUCCCAUAAACAAUUAACAUUUGACAUGUUAUGGAUGCACAUACUAUCUUUGCUGCCAAACAAAAAUAUUUUUGAACAAGAUUAAUUUUGGCCUAAGUCCUCUAAAGUUUAAAACCAAGUCCCCAGCGGAGUCGCCAAGCUGUCGCGACCUACCCUCGGGGGGAGGGAACAGGUUUAGGGGUAUUGCCCAAAGGACGGACCUAAGGCCCAUGAUUGGGCGCAAGCUCUCCCAAGCCCAUACCCCGCGUGACAUUGGGAUAUUUUUUAUGGAUUUUGCACAAAAGGAGUUGCCACUAGCCUAUUGGGGUCAGCUAGAAACCAAGUGAGGCAUGGGAGCGUGCCUCACUUCCUACGCAACCAGAGAAUCUAGGUUCGGGGACUUGAUUACACUAAUUAACCCAAUUAGUGCCCUUUCGGUACCUAAUCUUGUUCAUUUUAACAAAAUCAUUUUUGGCAGGCAGUUUAAAUUGAUUUUGUACCUAUCCACUAACAUGCGAGGUGACCAGGCAGGUGCGCAAUCAUUAAAGUGAUAAUCAUAACUAACAAGGUCCUAAUUGCAGUAAAAUUAAACACGUGCAAUUUAAACAUAAUUAGAUAUGCAAAUUAAACAUGCUAUAUAAUUAAUAAACGAGAAAAUCAAUGCCUAAUUACACUAAAAAUGCAAUACAUAACAAUUUUCUAACCAAAUCCUACAUUUUUUUAUUUUCGAAAUUUUUACUCUUUUUUUUUUAAUUUUAAAAAAAUUAAUAAAAAAUAAAUUUUUUUAUUUUAAAAUUUUAAAAAAUUUUUUAAUUAAGAAUACGGUCGAAUUUUUUUUUUAAUGCUUUCUGAGUUUUUGAAUUUUCGGAAAUACUUUUGAAUUUUUUGAAUUUUUUUUGAAUUUUUAAUAUAUAUUUAAUAUUUAAUAUUAUUAUACUUCAAUAAAAUGGGUUCGGACCGGGUAAACCCAAUCCGACCCGCGGACACAACCCGAACCCGGAUCCAACACUUUUAGAUUUUUUUUAAAAAAAAAAAUUUCUUUCGGUUGUCUUUUCUCACCGCACACUCUGUGUCCUUUUCUUGCACCUACUGUUUAACAGUCAUUCCCGAAGCCCACUUUUCAUUUUAUAGUUUUCUAUUUUUCAUUUUUCUUUUCUUUUCUUUUCUUUUGAUUGAUUUUUUUUGUUUUUUUUUUAUUCCUUCUUUCUUCCCUUCUGGCCUUUUCACCGAACAUCCCCAUCUAUUGUCUUUCCUUCUCUUUUUUGGGGUUUUCCUCUUUCGUUCUUUUCUUUUUCAUUUGCUGGUUCUCCUCUUUUCUUUGUUCUUAUUUUUUUAUUCUUUUUGUCCUGUUCCCUAUUUCGGUUAUUCUAUUGCAUCUUCUCCUUCCUAAAGCUAACGCCAAUCCUGCAACUUCCUCGCCAGAGCUCCUUCCCACCGAAUCUCAUCCGCACACUAACGACACGGCCCUAAACAAUCGAUGACCCUUCCAUCACCCGUCCACCGGUAGUCGCUAUCCCACGGAAAGAUGAACAGGCGCAAAAGAACAACAAGAAAACGAGGAAUGGAACACGGACACUAAUGAACAGCCAAACUCCUUAGAUAUUAAGGAACUAAGUCAACAUCAAGAAAUGUUCAGAUUCAGCCAUAACAACAACGCAACCUAAACGAAAUCAUGCUCAAUGAUCCAUAAAGGAUUCCUUUUACGCAAGAAAGGAGCAUACUCAUUCCCAAUGAUCCGAAAUUCACGACCUAAUCCACGUUAACUUAGUUCAAGCGUUUUAUCAAACACGUGGUAAGCACUGACUCGGGAUGAAGUUAUUAACUCCUUUUUGGACCCGCUCGAGUCUAGACCCAGAGAAAUCAUCAAGAAACAUGCAAGAUCGACCACAUCAACUUACUUAAACUCAGCGUGCAUAUAGGCUAACAAAAGGAACAAGACUUGGCUUUCGGUUAGACCAAAACAAGGAGGAGCAGCAAGGGUUCGUGCGAACAAGCAUCUCAUCACGGAGUUCCCUACCCAACUCGAAGACGGCAGGAAGCGGGCUUACUUGCUACAAAUCGAGCUAUAGCUCGCCGCUUUGGUAUUUUCGAGCUGAGAUCCUCGGGCAAGAGAGGUUUAAACCAAGUAAAGAAACUCACCAGUGA
rnacentral:lncRNA from 1 species